UGGUGGAGUGAUUUGUCUGCUUAAUUGCGAUAACGAACGAGACCUUAACCUGCUAAAUAGCCAGGCUAGCUUUGGCUGGUCGCAGGCUUCUUAGAGGGACUAUCGGCUUCAAGCCGAUGGAAGUUUGAGGCAAUAACA
rnacentral:rRNA from 1 species